rnacentral:rRNA from 1 species
UACGUAGGGACCAAGCGUUGUUCGGAUUUACUGGGCGUAAAGGGCGCGUAGGGGGCGCGGUAAGUCACUUGUGAAAUCUCUGAGCUUAACUCAGAACGGCCAAGUGAUACUGCAGUGCUAGAGUGUGGAAGGGGCAAUCGGAAUUCUUGGUGUAGCGGUGAAAUGCGUAGAUAUCAAGAGGAACACCUGAGGUGAAGACGGGUUGCUGGGCCAACACUGACGCUGAGGCGCGAAAGCCAGGGGAGCAAACGGG